AAACGACUCUCGGCAACGGAUAUCUCGGCUCACGCAUCGAUG
rnacentral:rRNA from 2 species